rnacentral:lncRNA from 1 species
CUUGCAUAUCUGGGCUCAGUCUCUGUACUCUCACUGCAAGCCUGAGAGGAAUGCAUUGAGAGGAUGGCAUGAGGAAGCACUUUUUCCUAUGUGAGGUCUUGAGUUACUGCUGAAAGCAUCCUGAGUGACACAAACUUGAAGCAUGCAAGAGGACUAAAUAACUUCCAAAGUCACACAUAUUGCAUGUCAAGAGCCAGCUUCAAACUCAAGUCCCUGUGACCAGAGGUCGAUGCUCUAAACACAUUUCUGCAUGACCUGCUUGUGGCAGCCUGGAGAAAUUCUACAUAAAUCUUCUCAGAUUCCAGAGGCUGCGAGGUCUGAGAUCAAGGAUCUGACACCUGGUGAGGGCCUUUUUGCUGCAUCAUUUCACAUAGAGACAAAAAGAUUCUCACCUGUAAGCUUGAAUUAUGUCUACAUCAUGCUUGGGAAAUGUCCAUAUAUUCUAAGCUUGAAACUGCAGUGAUGAGGACGUCACCACUUCCAGAGAGAACACUUUACUACCAGGCAACUUGAGUACAAUAGGCAGCCACAAAUAUCAUCCUUGCUAGCCAGGAAUGACAAGGAGCAAGCCACAUGAGGAGUCAGAAAAGAUUAUUCCAGGCAGGGCUGAGAUCUGCAUUAUGGUCUGGAGGCUGCCCCAGUCUCUCCUUUACCUCCAUAUUUUUCUCACAGUUCUGGAGACUUUAAGACCAAGAUCAAGAUGCUGGCAAGGACUUUUCUUCAUCAUGUGAAGAAGCCAACACAGACAUCAACUCUUGCAGAAAUAUUUACAUUCCAGGAUGGGUGGAAUAUUCAUCCUCUAAGACACUCUCCUUACUGCUCAUUUCACUUCUGGGUACAGUAAAUAUCAUUAUUUUUUGGUUUUUUAAUAUAUCUGUCUCAUAAUAUUGUUCAUUCUUAAAGGAUAACAACCAUAUCUUGUCCAUCUUCAUAACCUUGAAGAAUAUUAUAGUACUUUGUUAAUAGAUAACAUUCAAUAAAUAUUUGUGGAAGAAAUUUAAUGAUUGGAUAAUUAUAGUCAAAUAUAUUGAGAAGAAACAGGGUAAAGAUAUUGAUUAA